UUUCAUUUUGAUAUUGUAAACUUUCGGAACCAAUAACUUUCGGAAAGUUUUAACGCGGGAAACAUAUAUUAUUUAUGUCGGCUAUAAAAUUGACAGAGGUAUCUUGAAAUACAAAGGGCUUGGUAGUCUAGCGGUUAAAGUGUCAGCCUCUCAACCCGGACUUCGUGUGUUGCAACCCAGAUGGAUACACGGACAUGCCAACCAUUGCUGGUUCUUGAAGGAAAGCGAACAUGAGAGUAGCUGAAAGAUUUCAUCACAUCUGAGCUAAAAUAAAUUAUCGAGUAUUAGCUACAAUUCUAAACGUUCUUCCUAACACCCACGGAAGCCUAAAAUAGAAUUGAACAUGAAUAAUAGAUGAAUAUAUGAAUCUAAACUAAAUUAGUAUAAACUAAACUGAAUCUUCCUGUCGCCCCGGAUACCUGAAGUAGAAUUGAACAUGAAUUACAUCUUUAUAUAGACGACAGAAACGAACCGUUUAUGGCAGUAUAGAAUCAGACUGGACACCCAAACUUAAUUUCCAUUGAAUAAGUGAGACAACUUUUAUUUUUUAAAAAGCUGUUUUAACUUCGUCAAAGAUUAACAAAAGUGGAGCAGCUGCUAACGUCAUUGAUACAGAGUGCUUCUUCGUUUUUCAACAAGUUUCCUGGCGCCAUCUUGUACAAUAUACGCACAGAAAUUUACAAAAAGGAGCGAUAUAAGAGACUAUUUUUUAUUUCACUGUAUUUUACUUUAUUAUUUGUAUUUAAUAAUACUUAUUUACACAGAAAAAUAAAAUCAGCAUUUGCAUAUCAAUACUGCAAGUCUUUGGCACCAUGCCAAGUCAUGGUAAAUAAAUAUACAAUAUAGUUUAAGCUUAUUUUAUAGAAAACACACAUAUGGAUUUGAAAAUACACAGAAAAUAAAAUCAGCAUUUCCAUAUCAAUACUGCAAGUCUUUGGCACCAUGCCAAGUCAUGGUAAAUA
rnacentral:lncRNA from 1 species